rnacentral:rRNA from 1 species
AAGUUUUUGCAUUUUGGAGUGGAUGGCAGACGGGUGAGUAACACGUGGGAACGUACCCUUCGGUUCGGGACAACUCUGGGAAACUGGAGCUAAUACCGGAUACGCCCUUUUUGGGGAAAGGUUUAUUGCCGAAGGAUCGGCCCGCGUCUGAUUAGCUAGUUGGUGGGGGUAACGGCCUACCAAGGCGACGAUCAGUAGCUGGUCUGAGAGGAUGAUCAGCCACACUGGGACUGAGACACGGCCCAGACUCCUACCGGGAGGCAGCAGUGGGGAAUAUUGGACAAUGGGCGCAAGCCUGAUCCAGCCAUGCCCGCGUGAGUGA